AGACGUCUACAUUAGAUACCCUGUAGUCCCAGCCGUAAACAAUGUGCGUUAGGUGUGUCGGUAACCACGUGUUACUGAUGCGCCGAAGAGAAAUCGUGAAACGCACCACCUGGGAAGUACGGUCGCAAGGCUGAACUUAAGGAUUGGCGGGGGAGCACCACAACGGGUGGAGCCUGCGGUUUAAUUGGACUCAACGCCGGAAAUCUCACCGGAUAGGACAGACAUAUGAUAGUCGGGCUGAAGACUCUACUUGAUGAUCUG
rnacentral:rRNA from 1 species